rnacentral:rRNA from 1 species
GACGAACCGUGCGAACGUUAUUCGGAAUCACUGGGCUUAAAGGGUGCGUAGGCGGGUUCACAAGUCCGGGGUGAAAUCUCAUGGCCCAACCAUGAAAGUGCCUUGGAUACUGUGGACCUCGAGGGGGAUAGGGGCGUGCGGAACUCAGGGUGGAGCGGUGAAAUGCGUAGAUAUCCUGAGGAACACCGGUGGCGAAAGCGGCGCGCUAGGUCCCUUCUGACGCUGAGGCACGAAAGCCAGGGGAGCAAACGGG